UACGAAGGGGGCGAGCGUUAUUCGGAAUCACUGGGCGUAAAGCGUGCGUAGGCUGUUCUGCAAGUCAGGAGUGAAGCCCAAGGCUCAACCUUGGAAGCGCUCUUGAAACUGCAGGACUAGAAUUUGGGAGAGGAUAGCGGAAUUGUCAGUGUAGCAGUGAAAUGCGUAGAUAUUGACAGGAACACCAGUGGCGCAAGCGGCUAUCUGGACCAACAUUGACGCUGAGGCACGAAAGCGUGGGGAUCAAACAGG
rnacentral:rRNA from 1 species